GGGUUGUGAGGUUAAGCGACUAAGCGUACACGGUGGAUGCCCUGGCAGUCAGAGGCGAUGAAGGACGUGCUAAUCUGCGAUAAGCGCCGGUAAGGUGAUAUGAACCGUUAUAACCGGCGAUUUCCGAAUGGGGAAACCCAGUGUGAUUCGUCACACUAUCAUUAACUGAAUCCAUAGGUUAAUGAGGCGAACCGGGGGAACUGAAACAUCUAAGUACCCCGAGGAAAAGAAAUCAACCGAGAUUCCCCCAGUAGCGGCGAGCGAACGGGGAGGAGCCCAGAGCCUGAAUCAGCAUGUGUGUUAGUGGAAGCGUCUGGAAAGGCGCGCGAUACAGGGUGACAGCCCCGUACACAAAAGCGCAUGUGCUGUGAGCUCGAUGAGUAGGGCGGGACACGUGGUAUCCUGUCUGAAUAUGGGGGGACCAUCCUCCAAGGCUAAAUACUCCUGACUGACCGAUAGUGAACCAGUACCGUGAGGGAAAGGCGAAAAGAACCCCGGCGAGGGGAGUGAAAAAGAACCUGAAACCGUGUACGUACAAGCAGUGGGAGCACAGGUUUACCUGUGUGACUGCGUACCUUUUGUAUAAUGGGUCAGCGACUUAUAUUCUGUAGCAAGGUUAACCGUAUAGGGGAGCCGGAGGGAAACCGAGUCUUAAUUGGGCGUUAAGUUGCAGGGUAUAGACCCGAAACCCGGUGAUCUAGCCAUGGGCAGGUUGAAGGUUGGGUAACACUAACUGGAGGACCGAACCGACUAAUGUUGAAAAAUUAGCGGAUGACCUGUGGCUGGGGGUGAAAGGCCAAUCAAACCGGGAGAUAGCUGGUUCUCCCCGAAAGCUAUUUAGGUAGCGCCUCGUGAAUUCAUCUCCGGGGGUAGAGCACUGUUUCGGCUAGGGGGCCAUCCCGGCUUACCAACCCGAUGCAAACUGCGAAUACCGGAGAAUGUUAUCACGGGAGACACACGGCGGGUGCUAACGUCCGUCGUGAAGAGGGAAACAACCCAGACCGCCAGCUAAGGUCCCAAAGUCAUGGUUAAGUGGGAAACGAUGUGGGAAGGCCCAGACAGCCAGGAUGUUGGCUUAGAAGCAGCCAUCAUUUAAAGAAAGCGUAAUAGCUCACUGGUCGAGUCGGCCUGCGCGGAAGAUGUAACGGGGCUAAACCAUGCACCGAAGCUGCGGCAGCGA
rnacentral:rRNA from 2 species